rnacentral:rRNA from 1 species
CAGGUGCUGCAUGGCUGUCGUCAGCUCGUGUUGUGAAAUGUUGGGUUAAGUCCCGCAACGAGCGCAACCCUUAUCCUUUGUUGCCAGCGGUUCGGCCGGGAACUCAAAGGAGACUGCCGGUGAUAAACUGGAGGAAGGUGGGGAUGACGUCAAGUCAUCAUGGCCCUUACGACUAGGGCUACACACGUGCUACAAUGGCGCAUACAAAGAGAAGCAACCUCGCGAGAGCAAGCGGACCUCAUAAAGUGCGUCGUAGUCCGGAUUGGAGUCUGCAACUCGACUCCAUGAAGUCGGAAUCGC